rnacentral:ncRNA from 1 species
ACACGUGGAGAGAUUUGAGUAGCUUGCAACCACAGAAAAAAAAUGCUAAAACAACA